AAACCAUACAUUGGACAUUUACUAAUUAGUUCCUUGAAACGCUCCUAUGCUUCAUAUAAUGUUUCAUCUUCCGAUUGCCUGAACGAUGUAAUGUCAUUCCUAAGCUU
rfam:Gossypium arboreum cultivar AKA8401 contig_2193_7, whole genome shotgun sequence.